CAGCAGCCGCGGGAACACGGAGGUGGCAGGCGUUGUCCGGAAUUAUUGGGCGUAAAGGGCUCGCAGGCGGUUUCUUAAGACUGAUGUGAAAGCCCCCGGCUCAACCGGGGAGGGUCAUUGGAAACUGGGAAACUUGAGUGCAGAAGAGGAGAGUGGAAUUCCACGUGUAGCGGUGAAAUGCGUAGAGAUGUGGAGGAACACCAGUGGCGAAGGCGACUCUCUGGUCUGUAACUGACGCUGAGGAGCGAAAGCGUGGGGAGCGAACAGGAUUAGAUACCCCAGUAGUCCCUGUCUCUUAUAC
rnacentral:rRNA from 1 species